rnacentral:rRNA from 1 species
UACGGGGGGAGCAAGCGUUGUUCGGAUUUACUGGGCGUAAAGGGCGCGUAGGCGGCGCAACAAGUCACUUGUGAAAUCUCCGGGCUUAACCCGGAGCGGCCAAGUGAUACUGUCGUGCUAGAGUGCGGAAGGGGCUACUGGAAUUCUCGGUGUAGCGGUGAAAUGCGUAGAUAUCGAGAGGAACACCUGCGGCGAAGGCGGGUAGCUGGGCCGACACUGACGCUGGGGCACGAAAGCCAGGGGAGCGAACGGG